UCUUUCUUAAAGAACACCAUUAUCGAAAUGAUGUCAUAUGGCUGGUUUUAAAAGUUUUCUGCAUGAUGUAUUGUGAAAUUCAAAACAAUUUUUAAAAGAAUAUUAUAAGCUUGUUAGUAAAACUCAUUUGUGUAUGUGACAAUUCUCUUUUAGCCCUGAAUAACUAUUUGCGCAGAUGCCAAUUAACAAAUUUGAAGUAUUAGGAUAAGGCUCAUUAUAAAUGUAGUGUUUUUCCAAAUUGAGUUGUGAUUCUAAUAGGCAAUGUAAUAGCUCUUGAAAUUCGAAUUAUUUUAUAAUAUUAACUGUAUGCAUAAAUUCGGAUUAAAUAUUUUGUGGUAUUAACUGUAUGUAUAAUUUCUUUAUAGUGAAUGAAUAUAAAAAAGCAGCAAGGCACACCUCUUAAUUUAUUUCCCAGCCCAAAGCACUUUCCCUAUCGUCUGUACAAAAAGUAGUGGUAGGGCAGUGCAGGAGCUUGCAGUCAGAUUUCCUUGGAUUGGUUUCCAGGGCCUACUAUUUACUUGCUAAAUGACUGUAGGCAGGUAUGUUCAUUGUCAUAAUCAAAGUAUCUCUGCCCUUAAACACAAAAAGAAGAUGAAUACAGACCAUUUUGUGUUCUCUGAAGGAAAUAAAGAUGAGUAAUUGGCGUACACAA
rnacentral:sRNA from 1 species